UAUAAAUAAUGGUAUGUAAAGAAAGCCUUUUUUGUCCUGAAAAAAACAAUAUAUAAUUUGUAUAGGAACAGUAAAUGAGAGAGCGGAAAAUUACAGCUUAACACAAACACCACAAAAGUGUAAAAAGAGGCCUGGUCGCAAAUGUACAACAUCGCAAAAACAGUCCAGUCCUUAAGAAGUUAAGGAGUUAAAUUAGGUUUGAUUCUGUUUGUGCAGUCCUAGCCACACCUCCCCUAGCUGUGACUCACACAGCCUGCAUGAAAAAGAAUUUUUUAAAAUUUUUUAUCAGAUGUAACUUACUUUAAAAAGUUUUUAUUUCAUGCUCUGUAAAUUGAACUUUAAUUACAUAUAGGAGACUCCUGCGGGAUCUAGCAAGCUUUUACAGAGCAGGAGAUAAGAAAUUAAAAAUUAUACAGGAUUUGCAAUAAAGGAAGUGUAAACAUUAGAUGACUCUUUACAGGAAGAGUUUAGGAAGGCUGUGUAAGUCACAUGCAGGGAGGUGUGACUAAGGCUGCAUAAACAAAGCAAUUUCACUUCUAAAUGUCAGAAAAUUAAGCAGUGAAACUGAAGGAGCAUGAUCUAUACACCAAAACUACUUCAUUAAGCUAAAUUUGUUUUGGUGACUAUAGUGUCCCUUUAAUUAGGAGGGCAUUAUAUUGAUGCCCAACUUAUCACCUGAUUCUCAUUAUAAAUUAGUUGAAUGCUAUCUGAUAUCAGGUAACUAAAAAUAAAAUUGUUAGGUCUCAUUUAUAAACUAAAUAUAUCAAACAGUGGCUUUAUUCAUAAAACAGUGAAACAGAAACUGUAGCAUAAAACAGUCCUAAUGAGAAUGUAGAUGAGUUAGAGGGUUUUUCCUAUGUGAUUAUUUUUACCUAACUUUAGAACAUGUCAUAUAGAUUCACUGUUUAAUGAAGAGCAUUCUUGAAUUUAGAGUUCAAAAAUCUCAAUUAUGUUUGUACACAAAAUUUGGUAUUUUUUUAAAGCAUUUGUAAAUAUUAUUUAGCAAUAGCCAAGGUGGAAAAAGUCAUAUCUCAACAGUUUUUUUAAUACUAUUUGCAACUCCCAUGUCACUUCUCCCAAAUUUCCAGUUUAGUGGGGCACAUAUUAUUUCUGCUUACUGUCAGGGCUUGAAAGAUUCAAAUGUUUCCAGUAUAAAAAUAAUAGUGGAGGAUCCUUUUGGAUGCCAGGAAAUAUGGAUUAAAUUCAAAC